rnacentral:rRNA from 1 species
GAAUCUUGCGCAAUGCGCGAAAGCGUGACGCAGCAACGCCGCGUGGGGGAAGACGGCCUUAGGGUUGUAAACCCCUUUCAGGAGGGACGAAGGUCGGCGCGUUAAUAGCGGGUCCGACUGACGGUACCCCCACAAGAAGCCCCGGCUAACUACGUGCCACUCGCCGCGGUAAUACGUAGGGGGCAAGCGUUGUCCGGAAUUAUUGGGCGUAAAGAGCGUGUAGGCGGUCCGGUAAGUCAGCUGUGAAAGUCAAGGGCUCAACCCUUGAAAGCCGGUUGAUACUGUCGGGCUAGAGUCCGGAAGAGGCGAGUGGAAUUCCCGGUGUAGCGGUGAAAUGCGCAGAUAUCGGGAGGAACACCAAUGGCGAAGGCAGCUCGCUGGGACGGUACUGACGCUGAGACGCGAAAGCGUGGGGAGCAAACAGG